rnacentral:rRNA from 1 species
ACGAGUGAAGACUUUGGGUCACCUCCCACCCAUGUUUAUUUUACCUUGUUGCUUCGGCGGGCCCGCCUUAACUGGCCGCCGGGGGGCUUACGCCCCCGGGCCCGCGCCCGCCGAAGACACCCUCGAACUCUGUCUGAAGAUUGUAGUCUGAGUGAAAAUAUAAAUUAUUUAAAACUUUCAACAACGGAUCUCUUGGUUCCGGCAUCGAUGAAGAACGCAGCGAAAUGCGAUACGUAAUGUGAAUUGCAAAUUCAGUGAAUCAUCGAGUCUUUGAACGCACAUUGCGCCCCCUGGUAUUCCGGGGGGCAUGCCUGUCCGAGCGUCAUUGCUGCCCUCAAGCCCGGCUUGUGUGUUGGGCCCCGUCCUCCGAUUCCGGGGGACGGGCCCGAAAGGCAGCGGCGGCACCGCGUCCGGUCCUCGAGCGUAUGGGGCUUUGUCACCCGCUCUGUAGGCCCGGCCGGCGCUUGCCGAUCAACCCAAAUUUUUAUCCAGGUUGACCUCGGAUCAGGUAGGGAUACCCGCUGAACUUAAGCAUAUCA